rnacentral:tRNA from 1 species
GGCCCUGUAGCUCAGUUGGAUUAGAGUGUUUGACUACGAAUCAAAAGGUCGCAGGUUCGAAUCCUGCCAGGGUCACCA